AUUUAGGUGCAUCAAAUGGCAGAGAAAAUGAGCCCUAUCUGCUUUGAUAUGAUCGAGGAAGCAUACAUGACGAAAUGUGGCCACAGCUUUUGCUACAAGUGUAUUCAUCAGAGUUUGGAGGACAAUAAUAGAUGUCCCAAGUGUAACUAUGUUGUGGAUAAUAUUGACCAUCUGUAUCCUAAUUUCUUAGUAAAUGAGCUCAUUCUCAAACAGAAGCAAAGGUUUGAGGAAAAGAGGUUCAAAUUGGACCACUCAGUGAGUAGCACCAAUGGCCACAGGUGGCAAAUCUUUCAAGAUUUACUGGGAACUGACCAAGAUAACCUUGAUUUGGCCAACGUCAACCUCAUGUUGGAAUUACUAGUGCAGAAGAAGAAACAACUGGAAGCAGAAUCACAUGCAGCCCAACUACAGAUCCUUAUGGAAUUCCUCAAGGUUGCAAGAAGGAAUAAGAGAGAGCAACUGGAACAGAUCCAGAAGGAGCUAAGUGUUUUGGAAGAGGAUAUUAAAAGAGUGGAAGAAAUGAGUGGCGUAUACUCUCCUGUCAGUGAGGAUAGCACAGUGCCUCAAUUUGAAGCUCCUUCACCAUCACACAGUAGUAUUAUUGAUUCCACAGAAUACAGCCAACCUCCAGGUUUCAGUGGCAGUUCUCAGACAAAGAAACAGCCUUGGUAUAACAGCACUUUAGCUUCAAGACGAAAACGACUCACUGCUCAUUUUGAAGACUUAGAGCAAUGUUACUUUUCUACAAGGAUGUCUCGUAUCUCAGAUGACAGUCGAACAGCAAGCCAGUUGGAUGAAUUUCAGGAAUGUUUGUCCAAGUUUACUCGAUAUAAUUCAGUACGACCUUUGGCUACUCUGUCAUAUGCUAGUGAUCUCUAUAAUGGUUCCAGCAUAGUCUCUAGUAUUGAAUUUGACCGGGAUUGUGACUAUUUUGCAAUUGCUGGGGUUACAAAGAAGAUUAAAGUCUAUGAAUAUGGCACAGUCAUUCAGGAUGCGGUGGAUAUUCAUUACCCUGAAAAUGAAAUGACCUGCAAUUCCAAAAUCAGCUGUAUCAGUUGGAGUAGUUACCAUAAGAACCUGUUAGCAAGCAGUGAUUAUGAAGGCACCGUCAUCCUGUGGGAUGGAUUUACAGGACAGAGGUCAAAGGUCUAUCAGGAGCAUGAGAAGAGGUGUUGGAGUGUUGACUUUAAUUUGAUGGAUCCUAAACUCUUGGCUUCAGGUUCUGAUGACGCAAAAGUGAAGCUGUGGUCUACCAACCUAGACAAUUCAGUGGCAAGCAUUGAGGCAAAGGCUAAUGUGUGCUGUGUUAAAUUUAGCCCCUCUUCUAGAUACCAUUUAGCUUUCGGCUGUGCAGAUCACUGUGUCCACUACUAUGAUCUUCGUAACACUAAACAGCCAAUUAUGGUAUUCAAAGGACACCGAAAAGCUGUUUCUUAUGCAAAGUUUGUGAGUGGUGAGGAAAUUGUCUCUGCCUCAACGGACAGCCAGUUAAAACUGUGGAAUGUAGGGAAACCAUACUGUCUACGUUCCUUCAAGGGUCAUAUCAAUGAAAAAAACUUUGUAGGCCUCGCUUCCAAUGGUGAUUACAUAGCUUGUGGAAGCGAGAACAACUCUCUUUACCUGUACUAUAAAGGACUUUCUAAGACUUUGCUAACGUUUAAGUUUGAUACAGUUAAAAGUGUUCUUGACAAAGACCGAAAAGAAGAUGAUACAAAUGAAUUUGUUAGUGCUGUGUGCUGGAGAGCACUGCCAGAUGGGCUGCUGAUACACCUAUAGAGUGCACUCCGCCAGCUGCCAUUCAGGAGUCCAAUGUGCUGAUUGCUGCUAACAGUCAGGGUACAAUUAAGGUGCUGGAGUUGGUAUGAAAGGUUUACUCAAGUUAAUUUGUAUGUGGUCCUGCUGAAGUAUAUCUGCAGCCAACAGUGAAAGAAGAUAGAGACUAUCAUGACAAGUCUCUCCCCGACAUCAUUAUGGGUUUUGAAUUUGUUUUGAGUAUUUUUUUCUUUUACUUUUCCCCCUCCUUUAUGCCCUUUGGGACAUUGGGAAUGCCCAGUGAACUCUGCACCAUCAAUGUAACUCUGUGGACUUUGCUGCUGUUGAUGGUGUAGUUAUCUAAUUUUUGUGAUAGGGAAACAAAUUCUUUUAAAUAAAAGUAAAUAACAAAAAGUAAUAAAAGUUUAUUGAGCCAUGGUUGAGCUGGGAAAGUUUGUGUCAGUUGUGGCAAGAGACAGUAAUCUCCUCAAGACAGCACACAUGAGCUGUAGAAUAAUGUACCAGUGAGUAGUUUUUAAGGCCCAUAUUUCCCCACCUCUUUGAAAUUAUGCAUGUCAACGUAAAUAUAAAAGUAUGUGGGUUC